rnacentral:tRNA from 1 species
GCAUUGGUGAUUAAGUGGUAGAAUUCUCACCUUCCACGUGGGAGGUCCAGGAUUGAUUCCUAGCCAGUGCA